rnacentral:rRNA from 1 species
GAUGAACGCUGGCGGCGUGCUUAACACAUGCAAGUCGAACGAAGCACUUAUCUUGCUUGCAAGAAAGGUGACUGAGUGGCGGACGGGUGAGUAACGCAUGGGCAACCUGCCUUACACUGGGGGAUAACAGUUGGAAACGACUGCUAAUACCGCAUAUGCACACAGUGUCACAUGAUACAGUGUGGAAAACUCCGGUGGCGUAAGAUGGGCCCGCGUCUGAUUAGCUAGUUGGGGAGGUAAUGGCUCACCAAGGCGACGACCAGUAGCCGGCCUGAGAGGGCGACCGGCCACACUGGGACUGAGACACGGCCCAGACUCCUACGGGAGGCAGCAGUGGGGAAUAUUGCACAAUGGGCGAAAGCCUGAUGCAGCGACGCCGCGUGAGGGAUGACGGCCUUCGGGUUGUAAACCUCUUUCAGCAGGGAAGAAGCGCAAGUGACGGUACCUGCAGAAGAAGCACCGGCUAACUACGUGCCAGCCGCCGCGGUAA